CGGUGAAGCCCAGCUUGCUGGGUGGAUCAGUGGCGAACGGGUGAGUAACACGUGAGCAACCUGCCCUCCACUUCGGGAUAAGCCUUGGAAACGGGGUCUAAUACCGGAUAUGAGCUCGCAUCGCAUGGUGUGGGUUGGAAAGUUUUUCGGUGGGGGAUGGGCUCGCGACCUAUCAGCUUGUUGGUGGGGUGAUGGCCUACCAAGGCGUCGACGGGUAGCCGGCCUGAGAGGGCGACCGGCCACACUGGGACUGAGACACGGCCCAGACUCCUACGGGAGGCAGCAGUGGGGAAUAUUGCACAAUGGGCGCAAGCCUGAUGCAGCGACGCCGCGUGAGGGAUGACGGCCUUCGGGUUGUAAACCUCUUUCAGCAGGGAAGAAGCGCAAGUGACGGUACCUGCAGAAGAAGCGCCGGCUAACUACGUGCCAGCAGCCGCGGUAAUACGUAGGGCGCAAGCGUUGUCCGGAAUUAUUGGGCGUAAAGAGCUCGUAGGCGGUCUGUCGCGUCUGGUGUGAAAUCCCGAGGCUCAACCUCGGGCUUGCAUCGGGUACGGGCAGACUAGAGUGCGGUAGGGGAGACUGGAAUUCCUGGUGUAGCGGUGGAAUGCGCAGAUAUCAGGAGGAACACCGAUGGCGAAGGCAGGUCUCUGGGCCGCAACUGACGCUGAGGAGCGAAAGCAUGGGGAGCGAACAGGAUUAGAUACCCUGGUAGUCCAUGCCGUAAACGUUGGGCACUAGGUGUGGGGCUCAUUCCACGAGUUCCGUGCCGCAGCUAACGCAUUAAGUGCCCCGCCUGGGGAGUACGGCCGCAAGGCUAAAACUCAAAGGAAUUGACGGGGGCCCGCACAAGCGGCGGAGCAUGCGGAUUAAUUCGAUGCAACGCGAAGAACCUUACCAAGGCUUGACAUGUACGAGAAAGCCCCCGAGACGGGGUUCUCUUUGGACACUCGUACACAGGUGGUGCAUGGUUGUCGUCAGCUCGUGUCGUGAGAUGUUGGGUUAAGUCCCGCAACGAGCGCAACCCUCGUCCUAUGUUGCCAGCGGGUUAUGCCGGGGACUCAUGGGAGACUGCCGGGGUCAACUCGGAGGAAGGUGGGGAUGACGUCAAAUCAUCAUGCCCCUUAUGUCUUGGGCUUCACGCAUGCUACAAUGGCCGGUACAGAGGGCUGCGAUACCGUAAGGUGGAGCGAAUCCCAAAAAGCCGGUCUCAGUUCGGA
rnacentral:rRNA from 1 species